CGCGGUAUUUUGACCGUGCGAAGGUAGCAUAAUCAUUAGUCUUUUAAUUGAAGGCUUGUAUGAAGGGUUGGACGAGAAAUUAGCUGUCUUUGGAAGAGAAAUAAAAUUUAACUUUUAAGUGAGAGGGCUUAAAUGUUCUAAAGGGACGAUAAGACCCUAUAAAGUUUGACAUUUUAUUUUUUGAUGGGUGAGUUAGAAUAAUUAAAAUUUAUUAAAAAGUUAGAUGUUUUGUUGGGGCGACAAAAAUAUAAAUAAUUUAACUGUUUUUAUGUAGUUACAAAAAUAAUUGAAUUUAUGGUCCUUAUUAAAGAGUGAAGAGUAAAUUACUUUAGGGAUAACAGCGUAAUUUUUUUUGAGAGUUCGUAUCGACAAAAAAGUUUGCGACCUCGAUGUUGAAUUAAAGAUUCUUUGUAAUGUAGCAGUUAUAAAAGAGGGUCUGUUCGACCUUUAA
rnacentral:rRNA from 1 species